rnacentral:rRNA from 1 species
AGUGGAUGGGGAGCAACAAAAGUUGUGUGUGUGUAAAGGUAGUGCCAAGAAAAGCUGAGUUGAUGUUGAACAAAAGAUUCCGGUACCCGAAACCGACACAGGUAUGCAAGUAGAGAAUACUAAGGGGCGCGAGGUAACUCUCUCCAAGGAACUCGGCAAAAUGACCCCGUAACUUCGGGAGAAGGGGUGCCACCGAGAGGUGGUCGCAGUGAAGAGUCCCAGGCGACUGUUUAGCAAAAACAUAGGUCUCUGCAAACUCGAAAGAGGAGGUAUAGGGGCUGACGCCUGCCCAGUGCCGGAAGGUUAAAGAAGUUGGUCAGUCGAAAGAUGAAGCUAACGACUGAAGCCCCGGUGAACGGCGGCCGUAACUAUAACGGUCCUAAGGUAGCGAAAUUCCUUGUCGGGUAAGUUCCGACCCGCACGAAAGCGUAACGAUCUGGGAGCUGUCUCGGAGAGAGGCUCGGCGAAAUAGGAUUGUCUGUGAAGAUACGGACUACCUGCAUUUGGACAGAAAGACCCUAUGAAGCUUUACUGUAGCUUGGAAUUGUGUUCGGGCUUGCUGUGCGCAGGAUAGGUGGGAGGCUAUGAAGGUAUGCUUGUGGGUGUACUGGAGCCGUCAGUGAGAUACCACUCUCAGGGGGCUAGAAUUCUAACUAAAGAAAGGACAGUUUCAGGUGGGCAGUUUGACUGGGGCGGUCGCCUCCAAAAAGGUAACGGAGGCGUACAAAGGUUCCUUCAGACUGGUUGGAAAUCAGUCGCAGAGUGCAAAGGCAGAAAGGAGCUUGACUGCGAGAAUUACAGUUCGAGCAGGGUGGAAACACGGUCUUAGUGAUCCGACGGUGCUGUGUGGAAGGGCCGUCGCUCAACGGAUAAAAGUUACUCUAAGGAUAACAGGCUGAUCUCCCCCAAGAGUUCACAUCGACGGGGAGGUUUGGCACCUCGAUGUCGGCUCAUCGCAACCUGGGGCGGAAGUACGUCCCAAGGGUUGGGCUGUUCGCCCAUUAAAGCGGUACGUGAGCUGGGUUCAGAACGUCGUGAGACAGUUCGGUCCAUAUCCGAUGUAGGCGAGAGAAUAUUGAGAGGAGCCUUCCUUAGUACGAGAGGACCGGGAAGGACGCACCGCUGGUGUACCUGUUAUGAUGCCAAUUGUAAACGCAGGGUAGCCAAGUGCGGAGAGGAUAACCGCUGAAAGCAUCUAAGUGGGAAGCCCACCUCAAGAUGAGUAUUCUGUGUUAAGGUCACGGGAAGACGACCCGUAAAUAGGCACGAGGUGGAAGUACAGUAAUGUAUGAAGCCGAAGUGUACUAAUAGACCGUCAGCUUG